rnacentral:rRNA from 1 species
GGUGGGGAUUAGUGGCGAACGGGUGAGUAACACGUGGGCAAUCUGCCCUGCACUCUGGGACAAGCCCUGGAAACGGGGUCUAAUACCGGAUACUGACCCGCUUGGGCAUCCAAGCGGUUCGAAAGCUCCGGCGGUGCAGGAUGAGCCCGCGGCCUAUCAGCUUGUUGGUGAGGUAAUGGCUCACCAAGGCGACGACGGGUAGCCGGCCUGAGAGGGCGACCGGCCACACUGGGACUGAGACACGGCCCAGACUCCUACGGGAGGCAGCAGUGGGGAAUAUUGCACAAUGGGCGAAAGCCUGAUGCAGCGACGCCGCGUGAGGGAUGACGGCCUUCGGGUUGUAAACCUCUUUCAGCAGGGAAGAAGCGAAAGUGACGGUACCUGCAGAAGAAGCGCCGGCUAACUACGUGCCAGCAGCCGCGGUAAUACGUAGGGCGCGAGCGUUGUCCGGAAUUAUUGGGCGUAAAGAGCUCGUAGGCGGCUUGUCACGUCGGUUGUGAAAGCCCGGGGCUUAACCCCGGGUCUGCAGUCGAUACGGGCAGGCUAGAGUUCGGUAGGGGAGAUCGGAAUUCCUGGUGUAGCGGUGAAAUGCGCAGAUAUCAGGAGGAACACCGGUGGCGAAGGCGGAU